rnacentral:snRNA from 1 species
GUGCUUGCUUUGGUAGCACAUAUACUAAAAUUGGAACAAUGCAGGGAAGAUUACUAUGACUCCUGUGCAAGGAUGAAUUGCAAAUUCGUGAAGCGUUCCACAUCUUG